GUGAUUGGUGAAAGACUGCUGCUAGGAGCAGUUCGAGAGGAUUCAGUUGCAGGUCCAUAAAAGGGAGAUGAAGGACCGCUCGGAGCUGAUUGUGGGGAUUUUCCUGGUGAGGGAGAAGAUUUUGGAGCCGGAGAAUCCGAUGGUGGAGUAGGUGAUGUUUGUGAGGUUGCUAGGUGUCUAUAUCAAUCUUCAUUGAAAAAUGAAGAGUUCGUGUAACUUUGAUCCGGUGUGUACCACGAAACUGCAGAUAAUAGGUAUGUCACAUGAUGCUCAAAUAACAAAGGAAUGAAGUACCAUUUCUUUUAGCAA